rnacentral:rRNA from 1 species
UAGAAUUGACGGGGCCCGCACAAGCGUGGAGCAUGUGGUUAAUUCGACGCAACGCGAAGACCUUACCAGGGCUUGACAUCCCCUGACCGCGUAUGAAAGUACGUUUUCACCCUCGGGUGACAGGGAGACAGGUGGUGCAUGGUUGUCGUCAGCUCGUGUCGUGAGAUGUUGGGCUAAGUCCCGCAACGAGCGCAACCCCUACGUUUAGUUGCUAACGCGUGAAGGCGAGCACUCUAGACGAACUGCCGUUGACAAAACGGAGGAAGGUGGGAUGACGUCAAAUCAUCAUGCCCCUUAUGUUCUGGGCUACACACGUGCUACAAUGGCCGGUACAGACGGACGCAAAGCCGCGAGGUGGAGCAAAUCCUAAAAAGCCGGUCUCAGUUCGGAUUGCAGGCUGCAAUUCGCCUGCAUGAAGUCGGAAUCGCCAGUAAUCGCAGGUCAGCAUACUGCGGUCGAAUACGUUCCGGGCCUU